UCCCUAGUGGCGCAAUUGGUUAGCGCACGGUACUUGUGAUGCCGGGGUUGUGAGUUCGAGCCUCACCUGGGGAA
rnacentral:tRNA from 1 species